rnacentral:rRNA from 1 species
UACGUAGGGGGCAAGCGUUGUCCGGAUUUAUUGGGCGUAAAGAGCUCGUAGGCGGCUUGGCAAGUCGGGUGUGAAAACUCCAGGCUCAACCUGGAGAUGCCACUCGAGACUGCUAUGGCUAGAGUCCGGUAGGGGACCACGGAAUUCCUGGUGUAGCGGUGAAAUGCGCAGAUAUCAGGAGGAACACCGGUGGCGAAGGCGGGUCUCUGGGCCGAUACUGACACUGAGGAGCGAAAGCGUGGGGAGCGAACAGG